GCUGUAAUAGUAUAAUGGUAGUACAACACGUUGUGGCCGUGUCAGCCCUGGUUCGAUUCCAGGUUACAGCA